CUGCUAGAUGAUGAAGAGAUGGUCGCCUAUAUCCUUAAUGGGCUAGAUGCUGAAUUCAAUCAUUUAGUUUCUGCACUUGUAACUAGAGUAGAAUCUAUCUUAAUUGGGGAACUAUACUCUCAACUUUUGAGUGUUGAAA